UACGAAGGGGGCUAGCGUUGCUCGGAAUUACUGGGCGUAAAGGGCGCGUAGGCGGAUAUUUAAGUUAGAGGUGAAAGCCCAGGGCUCAACCCUGGAAUAGCCUUUAAUACUGGAUAUCUUGAGUUCGGGAGAGGUGAGUGGAAUGCCGAGUGUAGAGGUGAAAUUCGUAGAUAUUCGGCGGAACACCAGUGGCGAAGGCGACUCACUGGCCCGAUACUGACGCUGAGGCACGAAAGCGUGGGGAGCAAACAGG
rnacentral:rRNA from 1 species